rnacentral:tRNA from 1 species
UCCCUAGUGGCUCAGAUGGUAAAGAAUCUGCCUGCAAUGCAGGAGACCCAGGUUUGAUCCCUGGGUCGGGAC